AGCGAACGCUGGCGGCAGGCCUAACACAUGCAAGUCGAACGAACCUUUCGGGGUUAGUGGCGGACGGGUGAGUAACACGUGGGAACGUGCCUUUAGGUUCGGAAUAACUCAGGGAAACUUGUGCUAAUACCGAAUGUGCCCUUCGGGGGAAAGAUUAAUCGCCUUUAGAGCGGCCCGCGUCUGAUUAGCUAGUUGGUUGAGGUAAUGGCUCACCAAGGCGACGAUCAGUAGCUGGUCUGAGAGGAUGAUCAGCCACAUUGGGACUGAGACACGGCCCAAACUCCUACGGGAGGCAGCAGUGGGGAAUCUUGCGCAAUGGGCGAAAGCCUGACGCAGCCAUGCCGCGUGAAUGAUGAAGGGCUUAGGAUUGUAAAAUUCUUUCACCGGGGACGAUAAUGACGGUACCCGGAGAAGAAGCCCCGGCUAACUUCGUG
rnacentral:rRNA from 1 species